GGGUCAGUAGGUUGGUCGUGUCACCGGUACGUACUGGUCUCACUGAUUCCUCCUUCCUGAAGAACCGUAAUGCCAUUAAUUUGGUGUUGCGGGGAAACAGGACUGUUACUUUGAAAAAACUAGAGUGUUUAAAGCAAGCUAACGCUUGAAUACAUUAGCAUGGAAUAAUGAAAUAGGACGAUCGAUCCUAUUUUGUUGGUUUCUAGGAUUGACGUA
rnacentral:rRNA from 1 species